rnacentral:tRNA from 1 species
GCCAAAAUAGGUUAAAAAAACUAGGAGACUCAUAACCUCCUGUUGCCCUAAUAGGCUUUUGGUG